UCAAGUAAUAUAAAAAGUAUCGAAUCCACAGGGAUUGAGAUUAACUUAAACUAAAACAAUUUGCUUAAUACUUAGGAGAAAAUAAAAUGACAUUUGGGGGGAUUUGCAUAGCAUAUGAUUAACACUUAAAAGUAAAAAGGUUCAAAUUCAACAAUUAAAGAAAGUGAUUGGGUUUAUUUCAAAUCCCUCGUAUUUCACUAUGGAUGUUAGCGUCUAAUACCCUUGUGAUGAUCAAUUCAAUUACCACGACGGUUUAACUAAGCCACUAUACCCAUUCUCAUGGUGUAUAACUCACUAUUUUGCACUAUAAUCACCUAAUAUCUUAGGCCAAUUGAAUAGUUAAAAUAGGCAAACAUUGAACGUUAAACAAUAAGUCACAACCUCCAAUUCUCUAUUUCUAAAUCAAUUAUAAGAUUGAACAAUCAAUUUAGGUCCAAUUCAUAUGAUUAAUCUCUUAAUCAAUAUGAAUCUAAAUCAUUACAUGAACAUUUAUCAAUACACAUAAAGCAUUAAACAUAAAUAUUAAUUGAAUAGNNNNNNAAAUAAAAACAAAAGGGGAAAAAGAAAAUAAAACCAAAGAGGAACAUGAUGGUGUCACUUUAUCUCGUAGGCAUUCCUCUUCUUCUAUCCAUGUAGUGCUCCCUUCCUUUCUUUCUCUAUUCCCCUGCUGCAGCUCCAGUUCCUCUCUCCGUUCUCUUUUUGCGCAGCCAGCCCCCCUUCAUUUCAUGUGGUGUUUUCUCUUUUUUAAACACAUGUCAACACCUCAUUGGAAGAAUAGAGGAAAAGCCCACAUGUGUCUUUCUUUAAUUGGGCUAGCAUGGUCAAAUGUCUUUCUCUUCUUUUACUAUUUGCACCACAUUUAACCAUAAAUCUAUUAAGUUGAACCAACAAAAUAAAACUACACAAAAUAUUGUUUUAAUCGAGAAAAACACUUAAUUGACUCAAUAAACCAAAAAUUGCAAUUUAUUUAAAAUCACUCUAAAUUAAACACUAAAUUAAUAAAAUGGUAUUAAGAACUUAUUAAAAAGACUCUAAAAAUAGCGACUGAUGAAGAUCUCAUC
rnacentral:lncRNA from 1 species